rnacentral:rRNA from 1 species
GAUGAACGCUGGCGGCGUGCCUAAUACAUGCAAGUCGAGCGAACAGACGAGGAGCUUGCUCCUCUGACGUUAGAGGCGGACGGGUGAGUAACACGUGGAUAACCUACCUAUAAGACUGGGAUAACUUCGGGAAACCGGAGCUAAUACCGGAUAAUAUAUUGAACCGCAUGGUUCAAUAGUGAAAGACGGUUUUGCUGUCACUUAUAGAUGGAUCCGCGCCGCAUUAGCUAGUUUGUAAGGUAACGGCUUACCAAGGCAACGAUGCGUAGCCGACCUGAGAGGGUGAUCGGCCACACUGGAACUGGGACACGGACGAGACUCCUACGGGAGGGAGCAGUAGGGAAUCUUCCGCAAUGGGCGGAAGCCUGACGGAUCAACGCCGCGUGAGUGAUGAAGGUCUUCGGAUCGUAAAACUCUGUUAUUAGGGAAGAACAAAUGUGUAAGUAACUAUGCACGUCUUGACGGUACCUAAUCAGAAAGCAACGGCUAACUACGUG